AUUAGAAACAAUUGAAGUUCUCCAUAGGAUGUAAUAGACACUCAAUAGUGUCUCUUUUGUCCUGAAGAGAUAUAUCA
rnacentral:snoRNA from 1 species